UACGAAGGGUGCAAGCGUUACUCGGAAUUACUGGGCGUAAAGCGUGCGUAGGUGGUUUGUUAAGUCUGUUGUGAAAGCCCCGGGCUCAACCUGGGAAUGGCAAUGGAUACUGGCAAGCUAGAGUGCGGUAGAGGGUAGUGGAAUUCCCGGUGUAGCGGUGAAAUGCGUAGAGAUCGGGAAGAACAUCGGUGGCGAAGGCGGCCAGCUGGGCCGUUGCUGACGCUGAGGCGCGACAGCGUGGGGAGCAAACAGG
rnacentral:rRNA from 1 species